AAACACGUGCAAAAGUGCAUUCUCGCGGAUUGUGGCAGUGUUUGGUAUUUCAAGCAUAACUUUUGCAUACGACCUCUGAUUGGGCUGAUUCAAGUGGAUUUAGAAAGCUCACUUCAAGGGCUACAACUUUUGUGAAAUGCAUAAUUGUCAAAUUCGGGCUGAAAAUGGGUGAAAAUAGUGUUUGAAGUUGAUGCAGAGGCCAGAUCGCGAUCCAGAAACACCGGAU
rnacentral:lncRNA from 1 species